rnacentral:rRNA from 1 species
CUGGCUCAGAUUGAACGCUGGCGGCAGGCUUAACACAUGCAAGUCGAGCGGGGGAAGGUAGCUUGCUACUGGACCUAGCGGCGGACGGGUGAGUAAUGCUUAGGAAUCUGCCUAUUAGUGGGGGACAACAUCUCGAAAGGGAUGCUAAUACCGCAUACGUCCUACGGGAGAAAGCAGGGGAUCUUCGGACCUUGCGCUAAUAGAUGAGCCUAAGUCGGAUUAGCUAGUUGGUGGGGUAAAGGCCUACCAAGGCGACGAUCUGUAGCGGGUCUGAGAGGAUGAUCCGCCACACUGGGACUGAGACACGGCCCAGACUCCUACGGGAGGCAGCAGUGGGGAAUAUUGGACAAUGGGGGGAACCCUGAUCCAGCCAUGCCGCGUGUGUGAAGAAGGCCUUAUGGUUGUAAAGCACUUUAAGCGAGGAGGAGGCUACUUUAGUUAAUACCUAGAGAUAGUGGACGUUACUCGCAGAAUAAGCACCGGCUAACUCUGUGCCAGCAGCCGCGGUAAUACAGAGGGUGCGAGCGUUAAUCGGAUUUACUGGGCGUAAAGCGUGCGUAGGCGGCUUAUUAAGUCGGAUGUGAAAUCCCCGAGCUUAACUUGGGAAUUGCAUUCGAUACUGGUGAGCUAGAGUAUGGGAGAGGAUGGUAGAAUUCCAGGUGUAGCGGUGAAAUGCGUAGAGAUCUGGAGGAAUACCGAUGGCGAAGGCAGCCAUCUGGCCUAAUACUGACGCUGAGGUACGAAAGCAUGGGGAGCAAACAGGAUUAGAUACCCUGGUAGUCCAUGCCGUAAACGAUGUCUACUAGCCGUUGGGGCCUUUGAGGCUUUAGUGGCGCAGCUAACGCGAUAAGUAGACCGCCUGGGGAGUACGGUCGCAAGACUAAAACUCAAAUGAAUUGACGGGGGCCCGCACAAGCGGUGGAGCAUGUGGUUUAAUUCGAUGCAACGCGAAGAACCUUACCUGGCCUUGACAUACUAGAAACUUUCCAGAGAUGGAUUGGUGCCUUCGGGAAUCUAGAUACAGGUGCUGCAUG